rnacentral:snRNA from 1 species
AUCUUUGCGCUUGGGGCAAUAAUGCAGUUAGUGAACUGAAACUGAGACGCGUCAAAUGCUAGUUGAAAACUAUUUCCAAAACUAGAAAAAUAUGUACAAAUGGUGAAAAAACUAGAAGUA